rnacentral:ncRNA from 1 species
AAUAGGUGUCUGUCAAUCAGACUUAAUAGAGAAUCCGGUAAAAGCCGGAACGGUCCCGCCACUGUAAAGCAGAGAAAGGCACAAAAUGUCACUGGAAGUUAUUUCUGGGAAGGCGUGCUAGACGAUGAAGCCAAGUCAGGAGAACUGCCUAUUAUGAU